rnacentral:rRNA from 1 species
UACGUAGGGGGCGAGCGUUGUCCGGAUUUAUUGGGCGUAAAGAGCUCGUAGGCGGUUUGGUAAGUUGGAUGUGAAAUCUCCAGGCUCAACUUGGAGGGGUCAUUCGAUACUGCCAUGACUAGAGUCCGGAAGAGGCGAGUGGAAUUCCUGGUGUAGCGGUGGAAUGCGCAGAUAUCAGGAGGAACACCAAUAGCGAAGGCAGCUCGCUGGGACGGUACUGACGCUAAGGCGCGAAAGCGUGGGGAGCGAACAGG